AGAGUUUGAUCCUGGCUCAGGAUGAACGCUAGCUACAGGCUUAACACAUGCAAGUCGAGGGGCAGCAUGAACUUAGCUUGCUAAGUUUGAUGGCGACCGGCGCACGGGUGAGUAACACGUAUCCAACCUGCCGAUGACUCGGGGAUAGCCUUUCGAAAGAAAGAUUAAUACCCGAUGGCAUAGUUCUUCCGCAUGGUAGAACUAUUAAAGAAUUUCGGUCAUCGAUGGGGAUGCGUUCCAUUAGGUUGUUGGCGGGGUAACGGCCCACCAAGCCUUCGAUGGAUAGGGGUUCUGAGAGGAAGGUCCCCCACAUUGGAACUGAGACACGGUCCAAACUCCUACGGGAGGCAGCAGUGAGGAAUAUUGGUCAAUGGACGAGAGUCUGAACCAGCCAAGUAGCGUGAAGGAUGACUGCCCUAUGGGUUGUAAACUUCUUUUAUACGGGAAUAAAGUGAGGCACGUGUGCCUUUUUGUAUGUACCGUAUGAAUAAGGAUCGGCUAACUCCGUGCCAGCAGCCGCGGUAAUACGGAGGAUCCGAGCGUUAUCCGGAUUUAUUGGGUUUAAAGGGAGCGUAGGCGGACGCUUAAGUCAGUUGUGAAAGUUUGCGGCUCAACCGUAAAAUUGCAGUUGAUACUGGGUGUCUUGAGUACAGUAGAGGCAGGCGGAAUUCGUGGUGUAGCGGUGAAAUGCUUAGAUAUCACGAAGAACUCCGAUUGCGAAGGCAGCCUGCUGGACUGUAACUGACGCUGAUGCUCGAAAGUGUGGGUAUCAAACAGGAUUAGAUACCCUGGUAGUCCACACAGUAAACGAUGAAUACUCGCUG
rnacentral:rRNA from 1 species